CACCAGGUUUCUAGCGCGUAAAAUGUGCUUUGUUAAGUUAACUGUUUAGUUUACAAUUUUCAAUUAACUGUUAAUUUUGGUAUUUAUUUUAUUGCUAAUUGUUAUUCUUAAUUGUGUUUACAAAUUGGCGACUUAAUGUUAACCUGGUAAUUUACAUUUAGAAGGUUUUCUCGAAAUUUAUUGGAUAUUGGAUUUGGAUUUGAUCUAAUUGGUUUUUACAAUUAUAUUAUUGGUUUUCUUGUCGUUUCUCGCGAGCAUAAACUCUACAAAAAAGACUAUUGAUUGAAUGUCAAGUAGCGGUGAAAUACUUGGUGCAGUGUAAUGUACCAAAAAUUGAUCCAUUGAGUUUCAUGUUGAAAUCAUUCAAGUGUUUAUUGGUAUAUUUUUUGUUGCUGCCAAACAUUUGGUUAAGGUGAAAAAAGAUGGCUUACAAGUUGAUGAUCAUGGAGACAAAGAAGCAAGGAAAAUACUACACCAGCAAAAUAAUUUUAGACAAGAUUUACAACUGUAGACAAAGUAUUGGAAAUCACAAAGGGUCGAGGUAAUGAAUGUAAAACUUGUUUACAUGAUAUUACAGAAAUACCAACAGCAGUUGAUCAAAAGUUUACAUAACCAUUGAGAAUCAUUAAGACGAUGGAAUAACUUCAAGGCUCAUGGUAAUUUUCAACAAGCCAUCAUGAUCUUUCAACAAAGGUAACCUUUUUCCAGUCAACUAUACAAGAAGUUUGACAAAGCAAAUGGUUUGCAAAGUCAAAUUAUCUUGACAG